GCAUAUCAAUAAGCGGAGGAAAAGAAACCAACAGGGAUUGCCCUAGUAACGGCGAGUGAAGCGGCAACAGCUCAAAUUUGAAAUCUGGCUUCGGCCCGAGUUGUAAUUUGUAGAGGAUGCUUUGGGCGCGGCUCUAACUGAGUUCCCUGGAACGGGACGCCACAGAGGGUGAGAGCCCCGUAUAGUUAGAUGCCUAGCCUAUGUAAAGCUCCUUCGACGAGUCGAGUAGUUUGGGAAUGCUGCUCUAAAUGGGAGGUAAAUUUCUUCUAAAGCUAAAUAUUGGCCAGAGACCGAUAGCGCACAAGUAGAGUGAUCGAAAGAUGAAAAGCACUUUGAAAAGAGGGUUAAAUAGCACGUGAAAUUGUUGAAAGGGAAGCGCUUGUGACCAGACUUGCGCCGGGCAGAUCAUCCGGUGUUCUCACCGGUGCACUCUGCCCGGCUCAGGCCAGCAUCGGUUCUCGUGGGGGGAUAAAGGUCCCGGGAACGUAGCUCCUCCGGGAGUGUUAUAGCCCGGGGCGUAAUGCCCUCGUGGGGACCGAGGUUCGCGCAUCUGCAAGGAUGCUGGCGUAAUGGUCAUCAGCGACCCGUCUUGAAACACGGACCAAGGAGUCAAGGUUUUGCGCGAGUGUUUGGGUGUAAAACCCGCACGCGUAAUGAAAGUGAACGUAGGUGAGAGCUUCGGCGCAUCAUCGACCGAUCCUGAUGUAUUCGGAUGGAUUUGAGUAAGAGCGUUAAGCCUUGGACCCGAAAGAUGGUGAACUAUGCUUGGAUAGGGUGAAGCCAGAGGAAACUCUGGUGGAGGCUCGCAGCGGUUCUGACGUGCAAAUCGAUCGUCAAAUCUGAGCAUGGGGGCGAAAGACUAAUCGAACCAUCUAGUAGCUGGUUACCGC
rnacentral:rRNA from 1 species